CCAAUAGCGUAUAUUAAAGUUGUUGCAGUUAAAAAGCUCGUAGUUGAAUUUCGGGAUUGACACAUCGGUCGUGCCUUAAGGGGUAUGAACUGGUGUAGUCAAUUUCUCACCUUCUGGAGAACGGCGAUGCCCUUAAUUGGGUGUCACGGGGAACCAGGACCUUUACUUUGAAAAAAUUAGAGUGUUUAAAGCAGGCAUUUUGCUUGAAUACAUUAGCAUGGAAUAAUAAAAUAGGACGGCAUGAUUCUAUUUUGUUGGUUUCUAGGAUCACCGUAAUGAUUAAUAGGGAUAGUUGGGGGCAUUAGUAUUCAAUUGUCAGAGGUGAAAUUCUUGGAUUUAUUGAAGACUAACUACUGCGAAAGCAUUUGCCAAGGAUGUUUUCAUUAAUCAAGAACGAAAGUUAGGGGAUCGAAGACGAUCAGAUACCGUCGUAGUCUUAACCAUAAACUAUGCCGACUAGGAAUCAGACGAUGUUAAUUUUUUAAUGACUCGUUUGGCACCUUACG
rnacentral:misc_RNA from 1 species